CUUCUUUUUCUGCCCCCCCCCCCCCCCCCUGGGAACGACUGGCAGCCCUUGGACGCAGCCCGGGUCAGACUCCUGAGGUUCCCAAAGGCGACCCGCUUUGGGGUGCCUUCCUUUCCCUACUUUCCUGGCUCCCGGCAGCUGAACGCGGAGCUUAGCCGGGGCACUGAUGCAGCGACUGUCCAGCGUGUGUUGGCUUGGCGUGUGGUGGCUGGCGCCCUCACUGCGUUUUUUUUUUUUUUCCCUCCUCGUUUCUCCCAAUAUCACGCUCCUCCCUCAGCUUGCUUGACGUAGGGUGAACUCUGGCAGCCAAAUCAGGGCCAGGUCGGCUUCCCACGUUUCCUACACCCACGUUCAGUGAGUAAAACCCGGGUCUCUUACUAUCUCCCCCCCACCCUCCUCCAGGAAACGCUGCCCUUUCCCCUGCCUGGAAUCAGCACCAUUCAAGAAUCCGGUGGGAUUGAUGGGAAAGGGUCUAUCUUGUCCCUUUUAUGCUGUUCCUUUCCUUUUGCCACUUCAUUUUGGAGGAGGGCAAACCUCAACCUGGCCAGGCAUAUAGUAAAUUACACUACAGGAUAAUGUGACUCUGUCUGGAUGUUUGUUAUUAUACUUCUAAUAUGCUUUUCUUCUCAAGGAGCCCAGAGCUGCAUGUAUGCUUUCCCUCCUAUCAUGUGCUGGGCACCCCAGUAAGGUAGGUUGGGUAGAGAGAGAGAGAGAGCAAAGCAAACUAAGAAGCAUGAAAGCAUCUCGUUUUUUGUUUUUUUAUUUUAAAAAAUCAGAUUUGUAACUCUUUUUUCACCAACAAGCAAAGAAAACAGCCCCAGUUCAAAAAAAUGCAACCAAAGGUCAGUUGUUAGCUCAAAACUAAGGGUGUUAUUUUGGCUGAAAAGUUGGAAUUAUAUCAUUUUAGCAUACAGAAACAAAACACAUAAAGUUUGGCCGCAUAAGGGUAUCGUCUUUUUCAUUUCUGCUUGGUUGCAAUGUCAAAACAACAAAACCAAAUAAAACAAAACUCUCUCCGCAAUUGAUCUCGCAGCCAAAUAGGUAGAAAAAAGUUUGCUGUUCUGAAACCUUGUUAUUGCUAUUCUAUUAAUCUGAUUUUAUAGUAUCAGUUGUAUACUGCAUUUUCCUUUCAGUCCAUGCUCUGUAUUGUAACCUAUCUCAAUUUGUGACUCUAAAUCCUUUCAUUAAAAGUAAAUGCAUUCUUAGAUGAUUCUCUUCAAGCAGCUUCAUUCAGUUACUUACAAGAAAUGUGAACAUAAAUAAAAAUACCUUCAUCUUUUGCACCCAUGUUUUACUGCAUAAAACUUUACUUUGUUUAUUUUUAUCAAGUGAUUUAGUUUUUUGUAGUGAGUGUCCUUCUCCACUCAGAACACAGUGCCCUUGGAUUUGUUUUCUCUCUUAAAAAUGUCACCAAAGUUCCAUUUUCUGUCCUCGAUAGCCGGCACAAGACAAUCUGUAUCCAUUAGCACUCUACACAUUACUGUCAUUUCACAACUGUUUGUUAAGUACUAGAAUAUAAAAAAAAAAUCUAUGUCUUUCAUAUAUCAAAGACUAAUCAGUAUCAAUAUCAAAUAUUAACAUGAGUCGGUACAAUUCAUUUCACCAUUCUUGCCGGCUGCCCAUGAAUAUGAUUUAAUUUAUACAAUAAUAUAGAAUAUAGCGUUAAACUCUAGACAUGAAUUGAGCCCGAAGAUUCUACAUAAUAAAUAAUAAAUAAGUAGAAAAUAUAAACUUUCUUUGAAGAAUUUUUAUUGGAAUUUGUAUUCUUGUCAUCUAUUCUUCUUCCUCAAAAUCAGAGUAUACUCUUCAAUUGUGAAUGGCAUGUGAAUUAAGUAAAUUUGUGUGUGCGUGCAUGUAUCUAUCUAUAAUCUAUGUAUGGAAAUUAUCACUAAAAAUAUUCCGCUAUAUAUGGGAUUGUAUGACUGCUAAUCUAUUCCAAUAUUUUUAGCAAAAUUGUGUUAAGUUCUAUGUCUUUUGGACUUUGGAUAAAUAGAUCGAAAGUACUUUACCUUUUUUUUUUUUUCUUCAAUUAUAUGUAAAAGCCAAGUCCUUGGCUGUAGUCCUAUGCAUUCCCAAGUAUUGUAGUUAGGAUGUCUACAUUUUCAGGGAAAGACCCAUUUGUAAGGCAAUUCAUCAGGAGCAUUUUUAAAGAAGCAAUUGAUCGCAUCAUCCUUACAAGAAGCAGUGGAUGGAAACUAAUCAAAGAGGGAAUCAAUCUAGAAAUAAGGAGAAAUUUCCUGACAGAACAAUUAGUUAGUGGAACAGCUUCAGAAGUUGUAGGUGCUCCACAACUGGAGGUUUUUACGAAGAGAUUGGACAACCACUUAUCUGAAGGGUCUCCUGCUUGAGUAGAGGGUUGGACUAAAAGAUAUCCAAGGUCCCUUCCAACUCUGUUAUUCUCUCUGGUAAUGAAGAAAGGCAUUCUAACUUCAUAGUAAAUGGCAGAAUCAUUAGAAGUUGGACAGCAUACAAAUUCAAUAAUAUUUUAUAAGACGACUUUGAGAGAAAUCUUUAAAAAGGAAAUAUAGUCAAAUAGAAAAAGGCUCCAUUCUUUGGGUAAUCUUCCCCAAAUGACAGUCCUCACAUACCGAUACUGCUUGUUCCUUCCCAAACUCAAAUUAUCCAAUAAAUUCUAAAGUUUCUGCUGCUGUCACCUUCUUUACACACUGCAGGGCCUCACAAACAAGGCCUGUCCAACUAAUUAAAAGCGAAUCUGUGAAUGCACAUUAGUGAAUUUGCAUCUAUAUAUAGUUACAUACAGUCACCAAGAGCAAUUAUUUCCAGUGCAGAGAAGACCAAUAUUUGGAAGAACAGUUGGUCAGGAGCACCAGUAACUCCAAACAUCACAUAUACUGUAAAUAAAGCUAUUCUGCCUUCCCAUCUUCUGGUCUUAUUCACACCAUCUAGAAAAUAAUAUGAGUAGUAUAUGGAUACCAUUCUAAUCCAAUUAAAUUUGUUGGUUAAGUAUCCUUCAGCACAUGCACAGAGCCAGAAAUAUGAUUGCUUUUAAAAGCCAAUAACAACCAGAGCAAAAGUAUUUGUAAAAGCUUGGAAGGUCCUUGUGAUUCUUAUUUUUUUAGUUAUCUGAAUAUUUAGUUAUCUGAAAAUAGAAAUAGAUCCUGUUUCUGUUUAUUUUAGAGUUUUAAAACAAUUGAUUGUAGAUUUGAUUUUUUUUUAUUAUGAUGAUUUUUUGUCAGUUCGUUGAAUAAUGUUUAGCUAUGGAUAAAAAUCUAAGAAUGCAUUUCUUUUUAUUAUUUUCUUGUAAGGUUUUUUUUUUUAAUCUUCAUUUGUGGUUUUGUCUAUUCUUUGUCAAUUUAAGAAAGCUCUGAGCCUUUUGUUGCUUUUUUAAUUUAAAAUGGCUUCAGUAUCGAUCUUUGCACUAAUGAAAUUAUACCUUAUUUGUGCUAAUGAUGUUACAUCUAAUUGUCUAGUUUGCCUUCUGAACAAUAUAUUGCCAAUUUUACAGACAAAUGUAAGCCUAACAGAUUGCUUUUUAAUGUGUGAAUCGAGUUAUUUGCCUCAGUUUCCUUCUUCUGCAGUAGGGUUUGUUAGGCUCAGUAGCUACAUUAGAAAAAAAAAAGGGAGGUCCAAAGAGCCAUGUCAAUCAUCCACCAACCAAGGCUUUUCUAUGCAAUCAAUCAUUCCUGUGCAUUUAGAGGAUUACUUUAAGUGGGUUGAGGCUUUUUUAAUCCUUAUUCACACUUUAAACAUUAAUAUGGCAGACAUUUUAACACUGAGCUUUAUUUCAAAAUCUGGACAAACUGACAGUCCAAGUACCCAACUUGGUCCAAGGAAUGGUAUAGCUAACAGUUGGGCUAUGUUGGGGUGGCUAUAAUGGUUAUAAGGCCAUAGAUUUGGUCCUUCCAAUGCAAAAGCUAGUAUGACAUUAAUCAACUUGUUGCUUUCGUAACGCAAAGCUUACUUGGUUUUGGGAUCUUACAAAAGAGGUUGAUAGUGAGAUCUUGUUGGCUUCAUCUAUAUUGAUAUUGAGUCCCUUAAGUCCAGAUAAUCACUCAAAAUAACCCAUUGAGUGAUUGGGUUCCAACUGCCACUGUUUCCAAGUUCUGUAAUAUAUAUUCUUUAGGAAAAAAACUUAAACAAUUAUUGAUUUGUUCAAUUACUACAAUUGUGCUGAGCUUUAAUUGGUUACUUUGAUGAAAUAUAAAUGGAAUGCCUCUGAGAAAUAAAACCAUUAGGACACACACACACACACACACACACACACACACACACACACACAAUCUCUAAAUAAUUGACUAGCUGCAUCUCAUCUCUUUAUUUCAACUGACCAAACGUGAGGCAAUAGCUCAUCACACACUCAUACUUCAGGAAAAAAUAAGCAAACCAAUUCUCAACAUUGAUUAAGAUUUACAUAUUAAAAUUCUUUUACACAGGAUUGUGGAUCUGCAUUAUUCAUGUAUCAUAACUGUGCAUUAGUACAUGCUAUGCCUUAUUUAGAGUACAUUUUCUGCUAUCAGGAGGAUCCUUUCCUACUUUAGGUUUCUCAAAGAUCUACCUACUUUCUUUGAGAGACUUGUUAUCAAUGAAGCAUGGAUCAACCACAUCAAAUCAGCAAGUACUGUAUGUUUGAGUUUCAAAAUCUAAAAAUCAAAAACACUUCAGUUUGCUUCUCAUGUCUGUCCUUCAGUUCUUCUCACUUCUCUCCUGAUACUAUGAUUCUAUAUAUACAUUUAGCCAAUAGUUGUCUCACCGAACUUAACCUUCAGCCUGACAGAAUUCAGAAAAUGUGACAUUAUUUCAUGACAUUUUAGCUAGUCCUAAUAAAGAGAGUAAUCUGUGGUGAAUAAAUUGACCUCUGAACAUGAAUAGAGCUGUAAGUAUGUGUGUAUCACUUCUAUAAAAGCUGGUAGGAUGUUUUUUAAAUGAUAGGGAAAUACCUUUAAAAUUUGUUCUCUUUUUUUGUUUCAUAGAAUAUUCAUACAAAUGGUGAAGCAUUGUAGCUGCAUUUGCACUAAUUUUUCAAGAAAAGGUGUCUCAUUUCAAGAUUCGCAAUGGGAUGAAAUAUGACAAGCAUUAUACAGUAUACUGCUGUGAGGCUUUAUUUAAAAAAGACACGCUGAAAAAAGGAUUCAUUCAAAGUGAAAAUGUAUAUUAUGCUAAUAAGAGCAGGAAGGCUAUGCAGAAUCUUUCAGGAUAAAGAGCUAUUAUUUUAGAAUAAAAAGUAAAAAAUAGAUUUUGGGCAUCCUUAAAAGUCAGACUUAAAAAAACACUGUUGAACAUAGCCAUUAUCAGAAUUUUUUUAAAAAAAUUGCUCGCCAUCAAUCUUUAUUUAAAUAGAAAUGCAUGGAUGGAGCAAACAAAGUUUGAACAAAAAUGGCAUCUGAUGAUGUUUUUCAAAGAAGGGAUGCUUAUAAAUAAUUCAAAUGAUAUAUAUUUAAUUGAGCAAAAUAAUUACUUGUAAUAAUAUUCAUAAAACUGUUGAGAGAAAGUAAGUAUUCCAUUUUAAUUGAAUUAAUUGAAUAUUAAUUAAAGUAUAUUGUUACAGUCAUUCAGUAAUAUUAGGAGUAAUUGUCUGUAAAAACCAAGUUUAUUAUUCAUCCUUUUUUUCAUAUAAGACGUUCUUUUCAUUUUAUUUAUCACUAUCAAAUGCUUUAAAAUUUAACUCAGAGAAUAUGCUCUUCAACAGUUUUUCAUCUGAUUAUCAAUAUUUACUCCAAAAUAAACUCCACAGGAAACAUUGGCAUUUACAUUCAUAAAAGUAUGCAUGGAGUGCAAGUUUAAUAAUGUCCCUUGUAUUUCUAACCUCUUUUAUAUUAUAACAGCAUCCUUUAUAGCUGACAAUAUUGAUGUGUCUUUGCUAUAUGGUAUGGCAGAAUUGCAGGUCUAUCAAUAUUUUUCAUAUCAAAACACAGCAACAUUCGAAGUUGGGCAUUUAUUUUCUUAACUAAACAAUAACUCCUCACUCAAUAUUUCUAUUUUUCUCUUAUCCAAAAAUAUAGAUUACUGAAGUUACUUCUUAUCUACAGUAUAUGCAAUGUAUUUGCUUUUCAAUAACAUGCACUAAACAGCUGUGUUAAUAAAAGGUUUCUUUUAGCUGACAAGUGGGUUUUUUUUAAGUGUGUGUGUGGAAGAUCGUAUUAUAUAUAUAUGUAUUUAUUUUAUUUUGUUUAAGCCAUUAAAAGUCUGUUUGGAUUGGGAUGGGGCAUAGAUUUGAUGAAUGAAUAAAUAUAAAGAUGCUAAUUAUGGAGCUUUUGAAAGAAUGGGCAUACACUGAAGGUUUGGGUUGGGGGAGCAGUUCCAGUGGUGGGAUUCAACCAGUUCGCACCACUUCGGGAGAACCGGUUGUUAACUUUCUGAGCAGUUUGGCAAACUGGUUGUUGAAAGAAAUCAUUAGGGCAGAGAACCAGUUGUUAAAUUACUUGAAUCCCACCACUGAGUGGUUCAUGUGCAUGAUACUCAACAUGCUAUUGCUGUUGAUUUAGAUAUUUAACAUCAACAUUGCUAAAACCUGAUACUAAAACUUGAAUAGUGCAUAUACAUGUAGAAAACCUAAUACAAUCUUUCACAAAGCAAAAAGCAUGCUCUAAAUGAAGUUAUUAAUUAAGGGGAAACUAGUUUGGCAAACCCUAGCUAUUUUAAAAAACUCUUUCCAAAAUGCUGAAAUAGGGACAUUGAUUAACAAAAUUAAGUUUUUCUAAUCAAUUAGAUUUUAUUAGACCCAUGGUGGUGCAGAGGUGAGAAUGCAGUUCUGCAGGCUGACUGCCCACUGCCAGGAGUUCGAUCUUGAUCGGCUCGAGGUUGACUUAGCCUUCUAUCCUUCCAAGAAUCUGAAGAUUGCAAGUGAUCCAGAACAACACAGCGAGGGCAGUCUUGUGUGUGUCAAGGCAAACAAGCCGCCUAAUGUAACUCAGUAGUGGGUUGCCCCUGGUUCAGACCAGAUCGCAAGAACCGGUAGUAAAACCGGCAGGAGGCUCCGCCCAUCGACCCCAACAUCAUCAUCAUCAUCAGGAAGCUUCUGCACAUGUGAGUGCAACCCUGUUGCAAACUGGUAGUAAAGGUAACGACAUAUCAGAUACAGUUGAUAAAGGGCUAUUCUUGCCACUGAGUCUGUGUAGCAGCCCAGCACGAUGUUUCCAGGCUUCUAGAAAAUGAAUAAAUCCUGAAAUUUAGCCCUUGUAUUUUUUGUACAUGUAUGUUUUUUGGUCACAUUUAGCUGCUUAAUGAGACAGUGACAAUGACUGAGGAAUUCACAUCUUCAGCUUCUUGAAAUAAAGCCAAUAUUUCUGACUGCAUUUCGACUGCCAAGACAGUUCCAAUUUUCAUCACUUGCUACACUGUAUUGGGGAAGGCAAUAGCUCAAAUCACAUAGAAUAUUACACUAAAAUUGGAGAUCUUGUGAAUAACUUGGUGUCUCUUAUUUCUGUAAAAGUAGUUAGUGUUAGGGAAUAAAAUUAGUCAUAAAAAGAAUGUCCUUCUGUGGUGAAAAUAUUUGAAGUGGUCAUCACAAAAUACAGCCGAUGAAAAUCAUUAAAAAUAAUGAAAGCAACCUAGGUGUAUCCACUUAUGUAGCAGUUCUUAAGGUGCUCUGUUUUAAUAAUUAACAAUAACUGGGGCUACAGCUCAAGCAGAUUAUCAAAUUGAGCAAAGUGGAAUUGUUGCUGCCCAUUGGAUUUGGAUUAAUCUAGUACUUUCUCAGCGACAAAUAAUCAGAAUAGAAGUCAUGGGAGGUUAGAUGUUCCCAUCCAUUUUGUUUGGAGGGUUUUGACAUUAUGAUCCCAAGUUCUAAGAAUAUGGAGCAGUUAUACAGUAAAUGAUGGGAAGGUGGCAGGAUAAACACAGUGGAUACAUAGAUACAGGGAUCUGUUGACAGGGAACCAACGUAUGUGACAAGCAUGGUUAAUACCUAUUGUAAUCCAGGCUGUGAGCUUCAAUUCUGUAAAUUACUUCCUUGUGAAAUAAAUUUCUUAUGGAAUAAAAUACUUUUAUAUAUAA